rnacentral:rRNA from 1 species
ACGGCUCAGUAACACGUAGGUAACCUACCCUCAGGACUGAGAUAACCCCGGGAAACUGGGGCUAAUAUUAGAUAGAUAAAAGAUACUGGAAUGUUCUUUUAUCCAAAGCUUUUGCGCCUGAGGAUGGGCCUGCGUCCGAUUAGGUUGUUGGUGGGGUAAUGGCCCACCAAGCCUGCGAUCGGUACGGGCAGUGAGAGCUGAAGCCCGGAGUUGGGGACUGAGACAAGGCCCCAGGCCCUACGGGGCGCAGCAGGCGCGAAACCUCUGCAAUGCGGGAAACCGUGACAGGGGGAUCCCAAGUGCUCAUGCAUUGCAUGGGCUGUUCUUUGGUCUAAGUAACCAGAGGAGUAAGGGCUGGGCAAGACCGGUGCCAGCCGCCGCGGUAAUACCGGCAGCUCAAGUGGUAGCCGCGAUUAUUGGGCCUAGAGCGUUCGUAGCCGGAUAAGUAAGUCUUUGGUUAAAUCCUGCAACUUAACUGUGGGAAAUCUAGAGAUACUGCUUGUCUUGAGACCGGGAGAGGUUGGAGGUACUCCCAGGGUAGGGGUGAAAUCCUGUAAUCCUGGGGGGACCACCUGUGGCGAAGGCGUCCAACUGGAACGGGUCUGACGGUGAGGGACGAAACCUAGGGGAGCGAGCCGGAUUAGAUACCCGGGUAGUCCUAGGCGUAAAUGAUGCGAGUUAAGUGUGGGGGCAUCUACGAGAUGGCCCUGUGCUGUAGGGUAGCCGUUAAACUCGCCGCCUG